UUGAUCAAUAAUUGUUUUUAUUUCUCUAUUUAUAUUAGUUUUUAGUAUUUAUUAAUUCUUAUUUAACAACGUCAUAGUUUGUCUUGUCUUUGAUACAUAGAAAGUGUCUUCCUUAUUUUAAAUAGCAACCCACAUAUAAUAUAUUUUAAAAACCAUGAUUUCUGCCACGAAUGAAACAUCAUUAAUCGAUAGAAAAAUAUGUCCUUUUAUGGAAAAAUGUUACAGAAAAAAUCCAAUACAUUUUGCAGAAAUGUCACAUCCACAUUUGGAAAGAUUGGUAAUCGAUCAAUUGGACGAAACAAUCGAAAUACCAAAUAAUCUUGAUUUUGAGUGUGAUCGCACUCAACUAUUGCAGCAAUUAAAGGUGAUGCAAGUUAUAUUGAGAAGAGAAAGGGACAGAGAUGUAGAUAGUUUCUUAAGAUUAAAGAUAAACUUAUUUUCAACAGUUACUACAAAAAGCUCUUCUACCUCAGAAAAUUCAAAGAUUAAUAACGUUAUGACCAAUAGAAGAACAAAUAAACAUGAAAUGGAUAUGAAUAUUAAAUUAAAAAAACUUUCAGAGACUGCGAAUGAAAAUAAUGAAACAAAACAACCUGAAAUAUUAACUUCGAUGGUUAAAGAAAAGUUCGAAGUUUUUGUGAAAGGUGAAAAGAGAAAUAUUGAAAGUGAAGAAAUGGCCAAAAAAAUUAAAGUUAAUAAUAAUAAUACCAUUGAUAGUAUUGUUAAAGCAAGUAGCUCUCGAGAAUGCAUUUCAGAUACUGAAAGUACAGCGAGUAGCUCAACUAAUAAUACUUCUCUUAUGGAUAUGUAUUUGUCUAGUAAAGAUGGCAAGGAGAGAGAAAAAAUGCGAAAUAAAGCGAUCAAAAUGAUGAAACGUGAGGGUUUUCAAAUAUAUGAUGUAACGCCUGGACAAUUUAUUCAUAAAUAUAAACGUGCAAGUCCAUAUAAUAUAUUUUUUACAAGAAUAAGAAAAUCACCACAAACAAGUAAUGAACUGCUUACCGUAACCUUUCCUGAAAUAUUAGAUAUCAGUCUUGGAGAAAUAAAAUCAAGUCUACAAAUUAAUUUCAUGGUUGACGUUGGAUGGCUUUGCUUACAAUAUUUAUUAGCAGCACAAAAAGCCGAUAUAACGAUUGUAUAUCAAGAUAGAAUGGACAAUGAAAAGUUAGGCGAUAAUAUUACCUUAGUACGUGUUUCUCCACCAUCACGGUUUGGUUGUCAUCAUACAAAGAUGAUGAUACUGAAAUAUCAGGAUGGUGGUAUCAGGAUUAUAAUGUCUACAGCAAAUUUAUAUGAGGAUGAUUGGGAAAAUAGAACUCAAGGACUUUGGAUUUCUCCUUAUCUACCUCCAAUAAAGGGAUCUAUUGAUACGGCCAGUGGAGAAUCUAAGACAGGUUUCAAAAAAGACCUCAUACAGUAUUUGAAUAACUACCAAAAUUCAGCUUUAGUCAAUUGGAUUUUUACGGUACGAAUGGCGGAUUGUUCAGCCAUUAAUGUAUUCUUCAUUGCCUCAGUACCUGGAACACACUCAUUAAAAAAUAUAGAUUCAUGGGGCCAUAAAAAAUUGGGUCAUAUUCUUUCAAAUCAUAUUACUUUACCAGCAGACGCAUCGAACUGGCCAAUAAUUGCACAAAGUUCCAGUUUAGGAAGCCUGGGACCGCAAUAUAACAGUUGGUUAGGGAAAGAUAUCGUACUGUCUAUGUCAAAGGAAACUGAUAAAACAUUGAAGAGUCCUUCGACUUUUUAUUUUAUCUUUCCUAGUAUUAAAAAUUACAGAGAAAGUUAUGACUGUCGACAACUUUCUUGCUGUUUAUGUUAUAAUUUGCUGACGCAUUCAAAACAAGAAUGGAUCCAGUCUUAUUUACAUCAAUGGAAAGCUUCGAAGAUGAACAGAACCAAAGCAAUGCCUCACAUUAAAACUUAUGCAAGAUUAUCACCUGACUUGAAAAAAAUGGCUUGGUUUAUGCUUACCAGUGCGAAUUUAAGCAAAGCUGCAUGGGGAAAAUGUGGGGCGAACUAUUCCAUAAUGAGUUACGAAGCUGGUGUAUUAUUUCUUCCUGAAUUUGUCACUGGAGAAAAAAUGUUCUCAUUAGAAGGUAAUAACUCGAAAUUUCCACCAUUUCCUAUUCCAUACGAUCUACCAUUAACUCCUUACGAUUCGGAUGAUCGACCAUUUGUGACGGAAUUUUUCCGGGAGUGAUAGAAGAUUUUCCCAAAAAUGAUUACACGGGUUUGUCACGUAAAGAGAAAAUUUUAUAAAAGUGAAUCGGCUGUUGCAAAAUUUUUGGAUUCGGUACGUUAGAUGACGACGACGACGACGACGAGAACUACUACUACGGACAAAUAUACUUUUAUUGUUAGUAUCGCUCGAAUUCGUGAAUUCGAGUCAGUUACCUCGACGUGUACGCGUUUUCCAUAAAACAUCAGCAAGAAAGCGCUUCCUGAUGAGAGGCGGAGACACAAUCCACCACCUCCAAGUGAUAUUGACUCGUUUGUGCAUGCUCAGACUUCGAACAACGUUUAACCAGUCAUUCCACCUCUCUUUCUUCUUAUUAUUUCUGUCUUUCUCUUUCUCUAUCUCUUUCUCCCUUUCUCUUUCUUAUUAUUUCUUGUUCCAUCUACACGAGGUAAUUACACAAAGUAUUCAAACAUUUCGCAAUAAGAAUCAUUGAUCGAUCCCCACCUAUGGAUAUCUUAAGCAGCCUUGAAAAACAAAUAUCUCGAGUUCCGCUAUGGUUUCUGCGAACUCUGGUUACUCCUCCCACUUUUGUGGGAAGUCCAAUUCCUCCCCUGUAAGCGAGGACGUUCUCGGCGCAGAUGCGAGAACUCGGAAAGAAACGAUACAACCGUCAUGAUGACGACGACGACGACGACGACGACGACGACCACCACGACGACGACGACGACGACGACGACGUUAACGUUGAUGGUGUUGAGUAUAGCAAGCUAAAGAACUAUCAUCAGUUGUUGAUAUGCCGUCAAUACGAACGGGCUUCCUCUUAGGUCCUUGUACAGCACGAGAAACUUGAGUUGCAGUAUCAAAGUCUUCCUAGUUUUGACGUGAAGAGGCUGGAAAAAAUCUUUCAAAUAAAUAAACAAAUAAACAAAUAAAUAAAUAAAUAAUACUAAGAGAAGAGCAGCUCUUCGUCGUUGAAUAAUUAAAUAAUUAUGAAGACAAUUUUCCCCUAAGGAAUUAUGAAAUGUCCAUAAGAAUAAUGAUGAUACAGUGAAGAAAAAAAAAAUAAUAAAUAAUAAUAAUAAA